GACGAACGCUGGCGGCGUGCUUAACACAUGCGAGUCGAACGGAAAGGCCCUGCUUUUGUGGGGUGCUCGAGUGGCGAACGGGUGAGUAACACGUGAGUAACCUGCCCUUGACUUUGGGAUAACUUCAGGAAACUGGGGCUAAUACCGGAUAGGAGCUCCUGCUGCAUGGUGGGGGUUGGAAAGUUUCUGCGGUUGGGGAUGGACUCGCGGCUUAUCAGCUUGUUGGUGGGGUAGUGGCUUACCAAGGCUUUGACGGGUAGCCGGCCUGAGAGGGUGACCGGCCACAUUGGGACUGAGAUACGGCCCAGACUCCUACGGGAGGCAGCAGUGGGGAAUAUUGCACAAUGGGCGGAAGCCUGAUGCAGCAACGCCGCGUGCGGGAUGACGGCCUUCGGGUUGUAAACCGCUUUCGCCUGUGACGAAGCGUGAGUGACGGUAAUGGGUAAAGAAGCACCGGCUAACUACGUG
rnacentral:rRNA from 1 species